rnacentral:rRNA from 1 species
UACAGAGGUGGCAAGCGUUGUUCGGAAUUACUGGGCGUAAAGGGCGCGUAGGCGGUUCGUUAAGUCCUGUGUGAAAUCCCCCGGCUCAACUGGGGAACUGCACAGGAAACUAGCGGGCUUGAGUUCGGGAGAGGGAAGCGGAAUUCUGGGUGUAGCGGUGAAAUGCGUAGAUAUCCGGAGGAACACCGGUGGCGAAGGCGGCUUCCUGGACCGACACUGACGGCUGAGGCGCGAAAGCUAGGGGAGCAAACGGG